UGGCAUCUCAGAAGUCGGAAACAGAGCAGUUGAAAAAGGGAUCUUCGGAACUGGGCAGAGAGAAAAUGAAGUUGAAUAUAAAACUUUCCAUCUUAAGUGUGCUCCUGAGAACCAGAAACAUGGGGACCACAUGCAAGGUUACAAAGCAGAAUCUUGGCCACCCAGGCAUACCAAAUCUGAGACCCUCAUUCCUGCAGUGGUACGGAACUCCCUUCCCAGGCCAUGGCAUGGAGAUCAACUUGAAGGCUACUGCAAUAGUCCAAGCAGGUACGACGGGGCCUGAAUUAGAGUACCUUUAAAGGUAUGAAGAGCAAAGUCUGGGUAGCAAGUGUCUAAAUGUUUAAAAAAUUGU